rnacentral:lncRNA from 1 species
UGUGGGGGCACGGGCGUUACAUCAGCCGCCACGUGUGGGCCUAAGCUGGCGUGGAGGCGGCGGCCCCGCCCCCGGCCCCUGCGGUGGAAAAGUACCGGGGCGCCGAGGUCCCCGCCCCACGGCCCCGCCCCCGGGCCGGCACCGGCCCCUCCCGGCCCUCCGGGCAAGCCCCACUCUCCCGCCCGGCCCGGCCCCGCCGCCUGCUCGAGAUCUGCAGUGGCUGCCGGGUGCGGAGCGCCGGCCGGGGGUGGGCUCUCCAGGGCUGCUAGGCCCCUGCCCUCACCUGCGGCCGCCCGGCCCCGCCCUAGUCAAUGGAUCAUGAAGAUGGAGGUGGUGGCUCAUGCCUGUUAAUCCCCACACUAUGAGAGGCUGAGGCAGGAGGAUCACUUGGGGCCAGUAGUUUGAGACCAGCCUGGGCAACAUGGCAAGACUCCAUCUCUACAAAAAAAUGCAAAAAGAAAUCAGUGGACCAUGUAUGUACACAUCUAUUUUGGAUUCAUGCCUGUAAGAUACUGAGCGUCGACCAGGCGCAGUGGCUCACAACUGUAAUCCCAGCACUUUGGGAGGCUGAGAUGGGUGGAUCACCUGAGCUCGGGAGUUCGAGACCAGCCUGAACAACAUGGAGAAACCCCAUCUCUACUAAAAAUACAAAAUUAGCUGGGCAUGGUGGCGCAUGCCUGUAAUCCCAGCUACUCGGGAGGCUGAGGCAGGAGAAUCGCUUGAACCUGGGAGGCAGGAAUUGCAGUGAGCUGAGAUUGAGCCAUUGCACUCCAACCUGGACAACAAGAGUGAAACUCCGUCUCAAAAAAAAUAAAAUAAAUAAAAGAUACUGAGCAUCUUUUGAUCUAUAUGUCUUUAUGCCAAUACUACACUGUACUGAUUAUUUUAUAUUGUCUAAAAGAAGCAGUAACAUUAUUAACUUUAUUGUCUUAACCCUUGAAUAUAUGUCUUUGAAAUAUUUUGUGUGACAAAAUGGGAAGUAUGCUUAUCUCAAGGAAAAGCACUUACGCAAUUGAAUUGUGAACUGAAUGCACCAAACACCAGUUUUACUUAAAAGAACAAAUGACAAACUAUAGUUAUCAGACUUGGGUCUUUGGCAUACUUUUUCUCAAAGGUGAAUCAAGUGAGCCUAUCAAUUCAAGGGAAAAAAAAUUAGUGUUUGUUGCCAGUGAAAAAAUUAGCGUCUUCAAGUGAAAAUUAGGAUUUGAAAAACUUAUAUCUACUUACAGUGAGUUUGAAAGCUUUCAAUUCUAAUGAGACCAGUGAUAGCAUUAAUGAGUGUGCUCUUUAAAAAAUAUUGUAUAAUGAAAUGUGUCAACAUUUGGGAGAUCUGCAUAACUCAGUGAACCAAUAUUUUCCAAAUGACCAAUACAUGAUGUUACAAAAUCAUGCAUGAGUAAAAGAGCUAUUCAAAGUGCAAGACAGACCAGUGGAGUGUAACGUUAACAGAGUAUGAAACGUUCACGUAGUAACUAACUUUUAAGAAACUACCACCUCGAGUUUUGGUAUGGAAGAAAGAAGAAUUUACUGAAAAGGCUAUUAAAAUACUUCUCUCUUUCCCAACUACAUACUUUAUGAAGCUCAGUUUUCAUCACAUAUUUUAACCAAAGCAACCCAUUGCAACAGAUUGAAUGCAGAAGCAGCUGAGAAUCUAGCUGUCUUCUACAAGCCAGACAGUAAAGAGAUUUGCAAAAGUGUAAAACGAUGCCACUGUUCUCACUAACAUUUUUGUUUUAGAAAAUAUACAGCUCUCUGGCUGGGCGUAGUGUCUCACGCCUGUAAUCCCAGCACUUUGGGAGGUAGAGACG